GAAAGCGUGGGGAUCAAACAGGAUUAGAUACCCUGGUAGUCCACGCUGUAAACGAUGAUCACUCGUUGUUGGCGAUACACAGUCAGCGACCAAGCGAAAGUGAUAAGUGAUCCACCUGGGGAGUACGAUCGCAAGGUUGAAACUCAAAGGAAUUGACGGGGGCCCGCACAAGCGGUGGAGCAUGUGGUUUAAUUCGAUGAUACGCGAGGAACCUUACCUGGGCUCAAACGUAGUAUGACAGUCGCGGAAACGUGAUCUUCUUCGGACACAUUACGAGGUGCUGCAUGGUUGUCGUCAGCUCGUGCCGUGAGGUGUCGGGUUAAGUCCCAUAACGAGCGCAACCCCUAUCUUUAGUUGCCAUCAGGUAAUGCUGGGGACUCUAAAGAAACUGCCUACGCAAGUAGUGAGGAAGGCGGGGAUGACGUCAAAUCAGCACGGCCCUUACGUCCAGGGCUACACACGUGCUACAAUGGCCAGUACAAAGGGCAGCUACCUGGUGACAGGAUGCUAAUCUCUAAAGCUGGUCUCAGUUCGGAUCGAAGUCUGCAACCCGACUUCGUGAAGCUGGAAUCGCUAGUAAUCGCGCAUCAGCCAUGGCGCGGUGAAUACGUUCCCGGGCCUUGUACACACCGCCCGUCAAGCCAUGGAAGCUGGGGGUACCUGAAGUCGGUGACCGUAAUAGGAACUGCCUAGGGUAAACUUAGUAACUGGGGCUAAGUCGUAACAAGGUA
rnacentral:rRNA from 1 species